CUUUUUUAUUCUUAUAAAAUGACAUGUUUAUUACUUUAAAUUACAUGGUGGUUCACUCCCUGUGCUUCUCUGUCAUCCACACUUGAGAACGCUCUCACCCAAAGAAAACAAAACUCUCACAACUCUACAACUUCCUCUAGUUCAGGGAUCGUAGUCACCGCCAGAUCUCGUUCUCCCUACGCUCUCUACAGCCUCUGCAGAAACCUUCCACCGUAUUCCUACUUGCCUCUGGGGAAGGGCUUGCACCCUGGCUUACUUCAGUUCCUCCAGAGAACUACAAGAGAGGAGCUUCGCUGAGGCCCGGCUGACCGGAUGCUCGGGUCAGAGAAAACCCAGAAUUCUUUCCAUAAAAGAGAUUCCCAGAAGCAUGAUUACAAAGUCA
rnacentral:lncRNA from 1 species